AUCGCUUCUCGGCUCUCUGAGCUAAGAUCAAAAGUGUAGUAUCUGUUCUUAUCAGCUUAAUAUCUGAUACAAUCCUCAAGGAGGAUUCAGAAUAUUAAACUUGUUUUUGGAACUGGGCGGGUGCUCGGAGCUUGCUCCGACUCUGUCGCGGGUCGAUUCGGCAUUGCAGUACCGUCGAAUUCGGCCCAGUAAUU